rnacentral:lncRNA from 1 species
CGGGCUGGGCUGGGCCAUGGACGCAGCCAGAACAGACUGUGCCUGUGCUUGCGUGAGGAAGAAGAAGGAAGAAAGGAGAAAAGAAAGAAAAAAAGAAAAGGAAAAGGAAAAAGGAAGGAUGGCCGUUGGAUGGGAAAUGGAUGGAUGAGAUUAAAAGAAACCCCUUCGCCUUAAUUGAAAACGGGUUUCACGGAAUUACGCCUCCAUGCAGAGAAAACGUACUCCGCGGAAUAAAAGAACAACAAAUAAAGAAAUAGCUUUUUCUGGGUCUUUAAAUUGCCGGAAAAUCAAAUAAGGCAAAUAAAAUACCAAACUGCAUCGGAAAAAUUCCAGAAAAUUCGUGAAUUUCCAAAUAACUGUUUGGAAGCUAGGAAAAAUAGUUUCCUCAUGGAAUAUAAUUUAUAAAAAUAGUUUUAAUGCAUAUGCAGCUCAAAUAAAUUCCAACAAAUGCAUAUAAUCACUCUUAAGGUCCAAAUAAACUCCCAAUUAAAUUGUAAGAUCAUCUCCAAACUCAAAUAUGGUCAAAAUGAUAUGCAUGUGACAUGAAAUAGGUGAUAACAUCCAAAUUAGAAAAAUUGGGAGGUUACAAACCUACCCUCCUUAAGAUGAAUCUCGCCCUCGAGAUUCGGGUUGGUUAGCAAAUAGGUGAGGGUAAUCCUUCUUCAAGUUCUCCUCUCGUUCCCAAGUGGACUCUUCCUCUGUAUGGUGACUCCACUGAACCUUGCAAAAUCGAAUGGUCUUCUUUCGAGUAAUCCGU